GACACACUCCCCACAAGCUGCUCUGCUGUUACUAAUGCACACCCUUCAUUCUUCAUCAGGGAUUCUCUCCUUGCUCAGAUCUUCCAGCAGCUGUCAGCAGAGCAUGUCAGAACGAGGAGCGAGUGAUACCUUGUGCCAAGCCAAAGUGUGAGGGGAGACCUCAACGGCUUCAUCUAGUAAUUUUCCAUUCUUACCUCCACCUCCAGAAAAGUCCAGAAACUUCAGAGUAUUCUUACAGGAUGCUCAGUGAAACCUCAACCACCCUCUGAAGGGAUUCCUCAGAUCUGACUGAAAGUAGGAUUCAGUUACAAGAGGAGAAACUCACGUUAAUAAAGUCCCCUUUCCCUCCAUCUUCAUGUGGCCAAUUCUUACCCAUCCUUCAAGGACCAUUUCAAAUGUCACCUCAUCAAAAUAGCCUUCUUUGGAUACACUGCAUCUCUUGCUGCCUUGAAAUGCUAUGGAAAGUCACCUCUAGUUCUUGUUAAUGACUGUCACUUUAUUUCUGCAUUCUAAUACUGCUAUUUUUAUCUACAUAGAGCUCCUACAGUGGGUGGUGAACUCCUGAUAGAGGACACAGAGGGUCGUUGGGGCCACAUGGAUGGGUUUUAAGUGGUUGGAAUGUUUCAGCUGGGAAGAAACACGGAGUAAGAUAAGUAAGAAACAAGGGGUAACUAUGAUAAUAUAGUGGUAACAGAAAUAUAAUAAUAAUGUUUAAAAAUAUUAUAGAAUGCAU